rnacentral:lncRNA from 1 species
UUGACUCUAAACAAGCUAGGUGGGAGCUUGGAAAGGAACGGGUCAAACGGAUCAUGGAUGCGAAGAAUGUUUGCGCGAACGCGAGGUGAAUGCCAAGAGUGCCCGGAUGAAGAUCAAGCUCGAUGAGGAACCGAACACAAUAAAAUCUAACACUCGGGAUUAAAGCUUCCGCACGGCGUUACGCCAUAUCUUUUAAACGACGAACUUAUUUAUAUUACGUU